rnacentral:rRNA from 1 species
AGAGCUUGAUCCUGGCUCAGGAUGAACGCUAGCGGCAGGCUUAACACAUGCAAGUCGAGGGGCAUCGGGAGGGAAGCUUGCUUUCCUUGCCGGCGACCGGCGCACGGGUGAGUAACACGUAUGCAACCUGCCCUCUUCAGGGGGACAACCUUCCGAAAGGGAGGCUAAUCCCGCGUAUAUCGGUUUCGGGCAUCCGAGAUCGAGGAAAGAUUCAUCGGAAGAGGAUGGGCAUGCGGCGCAUUAGCUAGACGGCGGGGUAACGGCCCACCGUGGCGACGAUGCGUAGGGGUUCUGAGAGGAAGGUCCCCCACACUGGUACUGAGACACGGACCAGACUCCUACGGGAGGCAGCAGUGAGGAAUAUUGGUCAAUGGGAGAGAUCCUGAACCAGCCAAGCCGCGUGAGGGAAGACGGCCCUAUGGGUUGUAAACCUCUUUUGUCGGAGAACAAAACCCGGGACGAGUCCCGGACUGCGUGUAUCCGAAGAAAAAGCAUCGGCUAACUCCGUGCCAGCAGCCGCGGUAAUACGGAGGAUGCGAGCGUUAUCCGGAUUUAUUGGGUUUAAAGGGUGCGUAGGCGGUCCGUUAAGUCAGCGGUAAAAUUGCGGGGCUCAACCCCGUCGAGCCGUUGAAACUGGCAGACUUGAGUUGGCGAGAAGUACGCGGAAUGCGCGGUGUAGCGGUGAAAUGCAUAGAUAUCGCGCAGAACUCCGAUUGCGAAGGCAGUGUACCGGCGCCAGACUGACGCUGAGGCACGAAAGCGUGGGGAUCGAACAGGAUCAGAUACCCUGGUAGUCCACGCAGUAAACGAUGAAUGCUGGUUG